GAGCGGAGCUGCGCGCGCUCAGAGUUUGAAAAAAACAAAACCACAACACACGUUGCGGGGAUUCACAGAGUGAAACAGUAGUUGACCUGUUUGGAACAGAAAUGGUGACCCUGGACAUGGACACUGAAGAUGAAGUUUACCCUCCAGAGCAUUUCCUAAUAUCCCAAUGCCUAGAUACCAUCAAUGCAUACCAGAGCUGCAUACAAAGCAUUAACUGCAGCAUGUGUGCACAGCGCUGGACUCUGGGGCUGAAUUUUAUGGAUCACUUCCACAGUUCUGGAACCUAAAACAUCAACAGCAGAAUGGGCUGACAGGCGAGACAUGGCGAAUAAUGAUGAUAAUUAAAUGAUUGCAUUUAAAACAUAUUGUUGACACAAAUAUGAUGAGAAAAAUACAAUGACAAGGUAAUUACUAAGGCACUAACAAUGUUUUUUUUUUUUUGUAGAAAAAUCUAGAAAAAAGGAUUGACUCAAAAAAUCCACUAUAAGUGAGCAUAGCACAAACAAUGAUUCAAUACUUAAGUGUAAUUUUAAGCUAAUUUUGACUACAAUUAGAUCCAAAAGAAAUUGGUCCAAAAGUUUGGGGUUGGUAAGACUUUUAUGCUCACAAACG